CAGCGGCAGAGCAUUCGGCUGUUAACCGAAGGGUCGUAGGUUCGAACCCUACUCGGGGAG
rnacentral:tRNA from 1 species